GCGUGAAUGAUGAAGGCCUUAGGGUUGUAAAGUUCUUUCGGGUGGGACGAUGAUGACGGUACCACCAGAAGAAGCCCCGGCUAACUUCGUGCCAGCAGCCGCGGUAAUACGAAGGGGGCUAGCGUUGUUCGGAAUUACUGGGCGUAAAGCGCACGCAGGCGGCUCGUUAAAUAAGGAGUGAAAGCCCUGGGCUCAACCCGGGAAUUGCUCUUUAGACUGGCGAGCUUGAAUCCGGAAGAGGGUAGUGGAAUUCCCAGUGUAGAGGUGAAAUUCGU
rnacentral:rRNA from 1 species